rnacentral:rRNA from 1 species
AUUGAACGCUGGCGGCAGGCUUAACACAUGCAAGUCGAGCGGAGAUGAGGUGCUUGCACCUUAUCUUAGCGGCGGACGGGUGAGUAAUGCUUAGGAAUCUGCCUAUUAGUGGGGGACAACAUUCCGAAAGGAAUGCUAAUACCGCAUACGCCCUACGGGGGAAAGCAGGGGAUCUUCGGACCUUGCGCUAAUAGAUGAGCCUAAGUCGGAUUAGCUAGUUGGUGGGGUAAAGGCCUACCAAGGCGACGAUCUGUAGCGGGUCUGAGAGGAUGAUCCGCCACACUGGGACUGAGACACGGCCCAGACUCCUACGGGAGGCAGCAGUGGGGAAUAUUGGACAAUGGGCGGAAGCCUGAUCCAGCCAUGCCGCGUGUGUGAAGAAGGCCUUUUGGUUGUAAAGCACUUUAAGCGAGGAGGAGGCUACUUAGAUUAAUACUCUAGGAUAGUGGACGUUACUCGCAGAAUAAGCACCGGCUAACUCUGUGCCAGCCGCCGCAGUAACAC